rnacentral:rRNA from 1 species
GAUGAACGCUGGCGGCGUGCCUAAUACAUGCAAGUCGAGCGAACGGACGAGAAGCUUGCUUCUCUGAUGUUAGCGGCGGACGGGUGAGUAACACGUGGAUAACCUACCUAUAAGACUGGGAUAACUUCGGGAAACCGGAGCUAAUACCGGAUGAUAUUUUGAACCGCAUGGUUCAAAAGUGAAAGACGGGCUUGCUGUCACUUAUAGAUUGAUCCGCGCUGCAUUAGCUAGUUGGUAAGGUAACGGCUUACCAAGGCAACGAUGCAUAGCCGACCUGAGAGGGUGAUCGGCCACACUGGAACUGAGACACGGUCCAGACUCCUACGGGAGGCAGCAGUAGGGAAUCUUCCGCAAUGGGCGAAAGCCUGACGGAGCAACGCCGCGUGAGUGAUGAAGGUCUUCGGAUCGUAAAACUCUGUUAUUAGGGAAGAACAUAUGUGUAAGUAACUGUGCACAUCUUGACGGUACCUAAUCAGAAAGCCACGGCUAACUACGUG